UUCUCUGCAUCUGAGCCACAUGACCUGCCAAGUUGACACCUGUAUUUUGAUUUCCUUAUGUCUUGCAGAACCUGGAUGCUCCUGAGGACCCCCCAGGAAACCUUCCCCCAGCCAGCUUCAACAGGCUCAGAACCAGCUGUCCAUCACUCAGAGUCAUCCCAUUGGAGUCUACGCACGUUGGUGCUACUAGAGGUGGUAGGUUAAGGCAUUGUGUCUGCCUCUGUCCAGUGGGUGGGACUGUGCUGGCUUCUCUCAUGCUAUGGCUAAGAAGGGCCCUGUAUGGAGGAGCCCAGACCUGUGGGGCUCUGCGGCUUCAAGAUAGUUUCAAGGAGAAUACACAAGAGGCCCUGUCAACUGGGAUGACCUAGCCACUUGGAGGCCUGGCCCCUGCCAUACAUCACUUAGAUAAGGUAGGGCAUCCAUUCUUCCCUUGGCAGGAUGCCUCCCAGGCUCAGUUCCAGUCUGGCACAUUCAAGGGGUACAGUUCCAACAUUGACAACUGAACCUCAGAGCCCCAAACUUUCCAUGGUUCCCCAAUCUAAGCUCGUGACUCAAAGACCUCAUGGCCCAGUGUCUCCAGGCCAUAGGUGAUGAACUAGUCUCCUGGCCUUGAGCUACUGUGAGUUCCAGGUGGCUCCUAAGCUGUGCCUGGGGCCUUUUGAGGGGCUCUCCAGUUGGGAUUCACAGGAAACAAUAGAAAUGCAAGAAAAGGGCUCAUAGAUGCACCCCAGCACCUAACUAGUGUUGCUUCUUCUCUAGGCACCGGCUUCUUCUUGACAACGUCCCCGGGUGACUCUUAGAACUCAAUGGCCACGUCCAGCUCAGAGUUAUCCGGACAGCUGUAGUUGCACACGUGAUAACUGGCGGCACCCACUCUUACCACGUGACCAUGUGUUCUCGCCAUGUGACUGUGGCAGUUCCAUGAUGAGGACUCCUCUCAGUUUCCACUCUGUCACAGCCCUGCCCUGGACUCAUGUGGACACCCGAACCUUUGCUGUAGAUCAGAAGCAGUGCGUGUCCCAGAGUGCUACCAUAAUGAUGCCGUCCAGGUCCACAGUACAACCGGCUGCCUUGGUCAUUGCCGUAAUGACAGUACAUUCCAACUUCUCAAGGUAGGACAAUCCAGGGCAUGCUCUGGGAGGCCAGGAGUGACUGGAAGGCUCUGCUACCCCUGUGUUGGGGGGGGUGGAGGGCCCUUAAAAAAUGAGGAGAUAGUUCCAAGUAAAAAUCUUCUU
rnacentral:lncRNA from 1 species